CCGCUUAUUGAUAUGCUUAAGUUCAGCGGGUAGUCCUACCUGAUUCGAGGUCAACUAUAAAAAGUUGGGGGGUUUUACGGCAGUGGACCGCGCCGGGCUCCUGUUGCGAGUGUUUUACUACUGCGCAGAGGAGGGCCACGGCGAGACCGCCAAUUAAUUUAAGGGACGGCUGUGCUGGAAAACCAGCCUCGCCGAUCCCCAACACCAAGUCCACAGGGGACUUGAGGGGCGUAAUGACGCUCGAACAGGCAUGCCCGCCAGAAUACUGACGGGCGCAAUGUGCGUUCAAAGAUUCGAUGAUUCACUGAAUUCUGCAAUUCACAUUACUUAUCGCAUUUCGCUGCGUUCUUCAUCGAUGCAUGCGUAACAGAA
rnacentral:misc_RNA from 1 species